GUUGCUGAAUGCUAGUUGAAUGCAUCUCGUAAAGCGAAGGGUCAGUAUUAGGAGGUAAGUACACGGCACACACAAAGAUAUUUCCAUCCUUCAUUUCAAUACAGACAGCGGUUUGUUCCACCGCAUCGCCUUCCACGACUGUAGAAGCGCUCUUUAGCUCGGUUUUGACGCCUAUCAGCACUCCACCACCUCUGCUAUAUUGGCUGGUAGCAGAACUACGAUCACGGCGAUAGAGAGUGUAACGAGUAGUUAGUUCCGAGUCAAGUAUAUCAUCUUUCAGCCAGGUCUCAGUAAAAACAACGACGUCGUAGUCACAGGCAGAGAGAGUAAUGAAAAGAUCGUUUGUUUUGGUCCGUAGCCCUCUAACGUUUUGGUAAUAAAUCGUUAGUGGUCGAGGGGCUCGGAUGUCGGAUGUGUGAUUGUUUGUUAUGAUCGGUUCGAAAUUUCGGAUCUGCUCAGAUUCACGUCCUAAUGAAAUCAUUUCAGCACUAUGAAUCUUUGGUCGAGACGGAUCGUGCACGAAAAGUAUUCCUUGCUGGUUGGUCAUAGUCGAAUUCUCGGAAAAUUAUUCCUUUCUGCCACGAAGAACUUUGGAGGGCCAGAUCCUUGAGAGACAAACUAAUACCGACUUUGAACGAAACAAAGAUCCAACACAAAAUCACAGAAUUAGAUGCCAAAUCGGAGCUCGGAUGAUGAUACUCGAUAGUAUUCCAGUGCAGUGGUUGACGAUGCGUGCGACGAGAUAAUAUAACUGAUCCCACACAACGAUUAAAUAUUGGAGUAUGGAAUGAAUACAUGCGAAAUAAAAACGCAGCAGCGCUUUUUUAGGCACAAAACAACGUACUCUUUUCAUGAGACCACAUAGAGUUGAAACUUUUCUCGAUACAUGAUUUAUAUGAGUGUCCCAUGAUAGACAAGAAUCUAAGUGUAGCCCUAAAUAUUUCAAAGAUGUGACCUUCUCAAUUGACAUGUUCCUGACAGACGGAUCGAGAUGUUGACAGAUUUUUUUGCGUGGCGAAUGAAAAACCAUAUAUUUUGUUUUAGUAAGGUUUAGUGUGAGAUGAUUACCACUAAAAUAUUCCAUGAGAGCCGUUAGAUCUGAUUCCAUAUCAGCUACAAUGGAUUCAACAUUAGGACGAGGGUAAAAUAAAGCUGAAUCAUCUGCAAAAAGUCUCGGUAUACCAUGUAGUUUAAAAUUUCCUAAAUCAUUGAUGAACAUCAAAAAGAGUGAAGGACCUAUGUUACUUCCUUGAGGAACUCCCAUGCCAAUUGGGCAUAAGUCACUGCGAACACCAUUAAACAUAACGAAUUGUUUUCGAUCAGAUAGGUAGCUUUUCAUCAAAUCGUUAGCAACUCCUUUUAUACCAUAUCUUUCAAGUUUUUAAAGCAAAAUUUCAUGAUCUAAAGUGUCAAAAGCUUUUUUAAGAUCGAUAAAUAAGCCACCUACGAUCUUUUCUUGAUCAAUUUCACAGAUCAGUUCAUCAACGAGCUCGAUAAU